AUUGAACGCUGGCGGCAGGCCUAACACAUGCAAGUCGAACGAGUGGCGGACGGGUGAGUAAUGUCUGGGAACCUGCCUGAUGGAGGGGGAUAACUACGGGAAACGGUAGCUAAUACCGCAUACCAUCGGAUGUGCCCAGAGGGGAUUAGGUAGUUGGUGGGGUAAAGGCUCACCAAGGCGACGAGCACUAGCUGGUCUGAGUGGAUGACCAGACACACCGGUACUGAGAAACGGCCCAGAGUCCUACGGGAGGCAGCAGUGGGGAAUAUUGCACAAUGGGCGCAAGCCUGAUGCAGCCAUGCCGCGUGAAUGAAGAAGGCCUUCGGGUUGUAAAGUUCUUUCGGUGACGAGGCGUUACCCGCAGAAGAAUCACCGGCUAACUCCGUGCCAGCAGCCGCGGUAAUAC
rnacentral:rRNA from 1 species